UAUGGCAAGGAUUAAUUAAUAUGUUAAUUAAUCAAACGAAUAAGUUCGUUAAAGACCUCGUGAUAGUUUUGGACCUUAAGGCCCAAUGGGCUUCGAACGUCAAGCCCAUUAACUUAAGUUGUAUGACAACUUAAUGAAUAAUGAUUCAAAGGCCCAAACAACCCAAAAAUACCCCAAGGCCGGCCAUGAUGUUUAGGGUAGUGAACUUGGACUUAUUUACAAGUUUGCCACUCAAAUGAAUAAAGGUAUAAAUAUGACUUUAUAGCCAAAAUUCAUUAGGGUUUUUGUUUUGGAGAAAAUUGGAGAGAACAUGUCUCUCCAUUUCUCUCUAAAGAGGCCGGCCA
rnacentral:lncRNA from 1 species